rnacentral:tRNA from 1 species
CCGGGCGUAGCGCAGAGGCAGACGCGCCGCGACGGCAUCGCGGAUCACGCCGGUUCGAAUCCGGCCCCCGGGA